rnacentral:rRNA from 1 species
GACGAACGCUGGCGGCGUGCUUAACACAUGCCAGUCGAGCGGACAGGCCCUGCUCUUGUGGGGUGCUCGAGUGGCGAACGGGUGAGUAAAACGUGAGUAACCUGCCCUUGACUUUGGGAUAACUUCAGGAAACUGGGGCUCAUACCGGAUAGGAGCUCCUGCUGCAUGGUGGGGGAUGGAAAGUUUCGGCGGUUGGGGAUCGACGCGCGGCUUAUCAGCUUGUUGGUGGGGUAGUGGCUUACCAAGGCUUUGACGGGUAGCCGGCCUGAGAGGGUGACCGGCCACAUUGGGACUGAGAGACGGCCCAGACUCCUACGGGACGCAGCAGUCGGGAAUAUUGCACAAUGGGGGGAAGCCUGAGGCAGCGACGCCGCGUGCGUGAUGACGGCCUUCGGGGUGUAAACCGCUUUCGCCGGUGACGAAGCGUGAGUGACGGUAAUUGGUAAAGAAGCACCGGCUAACUACGUG